rnacentral:rRNA from 1 species
AUACGUAGGUGGCUAGCGUUAUCCGGAUUUACUGGGCGUAAAGGGUGCGUAGGUGGUUUUUUAAGUCAGGAGUGAAAGGCUACGGCUCAACCGUAGUAAGCUCUUGAAACUAAAAAACUUGAGUGCAGGAGAGGAAAGUGGAAUUCCUAGUGUAGCGGUGAAAUGCGUAGAUAUUAGGAGGAACACCAGUAGCGAAGGCGGCUUUCUGGACUGUAACUGACACUGAGGCACGAAAGCGUGGGGAGCAAACAGGAUUAGAUACCCUGGUAGUCCACGCCGUAAACGAUGGAUACUAGGUGUAGGAGGGUUCAACCUUCUGUGCCGCCGCAAACGCAUUAAGUAUCCCGCCUGGGGAGUACGGUCGCAAGAUUAAA